UACCAGCACCCCGAGUGGUCGGGACGAUUUUUGGGCCUAAAGCAUCCGUAGCCGGUCCUACAAGUCUUCCGUUAAAUCCACCUGCUUAACAGAUGGGCUGCGGAAGAUACUAUAGGGCUAGGAGGCGGGAGAGGCAAGCGGUACUCAGUGGGUAGGGGUAAAAUCCUCUGAUCCACUGAAGACCACCAGUGGCGAAGGCGGCUUGCCAGAACGCGCUCGACGGUGAGGGAUGAAAGCUGGGGGAGCAAACCGG
rnacentral:rRNA from 1 species